CCCUUAGAUGUCCUGGGCCGCACGCGCGUUACACUGAUGCAUUCAACGAGCUUAUAACCUUGGCCGAGAGGCCUGGGCAAUCUUGUUAACGUGCACCGUGAUAGGGAUAGAUUAUUGAAAUUAUUAAUCUUGAACGAGGAAUUCCUAGUAAACGCAGAUCAUCAAUCUGCAUUGAUUACGUCCCUGCCCUUUGUACACACCGCCCGUCACACCUACCGAUUGGAUGGUCCGGUGAAGCCUCGGGAUUGUGGUUCUUGCCGCUUUAUUGUGGCGUGACCGCGAGAACUUGUCUAAACCUUAUCAUCUAGAGGAAGGUGAAGUCGUAACA
rnacentral:rRNA from 1 species